rnacentral:rRNA from 1 species
AACGAACGUUAGCGGCGCGCUUAACACAUGCAAGUCGUGCGAGAAAGGGCUUCGGCCCCGGUACAGCGGCGCACGGGUGAGUAACACGUAGGUAAUCUACCCCCAGGUGGAGGAUAACCU